GCUCAUGUAGCUCAGUGGUAGAGCACUCCCUUGGUAAGGGAGAGGUCGGCAGUUCAAUCCUGCCCAUGAGCA
rnacentral:tRNA from 1 species